rnacentral:rRNA from 1 species
UACGUAGGGGGCAAGCGUUGUUCGGAAUUACUGGGCGUAAAGGGCGCGUAGGCGGUUUGCACAGUCAGGCGUGAAAUUCCUGGGCUUAACCUGGGAAUGGCAUUUGGGACUGCAAGGCUGGAGUGUGGCAGAGGAGACUGGAAUUCCUGGUGUAGCAGUGAAAUGCGUAGAUAUCAGGAGGAACACCGAUGGCGAAGGCAGGUCUCUGGGCUGACACUGACGCUCAUGCACGAAAGCGUGGGGAGCAAACAGG